UAAUACGUAGGUGGCUAGCGUUAUCCGGAUUUACUGGGCGUAAAGAGGGCGCAGGCGGUCUUACAAGUCAGAUGUAAAAUCUCUCGGCUUAACUGGGAGGGAUCAUUUGAUACUGUUAGACUAGAGGGCAGCAGAGGGAGGUGGAAUUCCCGGUGUAGUGGUGAAAUGCGUAGAUAUCGGGAGGAACACCAGUGGCGAAGGCGGCCUCCUAGACUGUUACUGACGCUGUGGCCCGAAAGCGUGGGGAGCGAACAGGAUUAGAUACCCUGGUAGUCCACGCCGUAAACUAUGGACACUAGGUAUGGGGAGUAUCGACCCUCUCCGUGCCGAAGCUAACGCGUUAAGUGUCCCGCCUGGGGACUACGGCCGCAAGGCUA
rnacentral:rRNA from 1 species